AUAAUUAGUUAAUUUUAUACAGAUUUCUACAAACAUAAUAAAUUAUAAAUAUAUCCCUACAAAAUUCAACUUUUAUAUAUUAUUUUAGCCAAAGUUCUAAUAUUUUCAAAUAUAUCCCUGUCGUUAGAAUCCGUUAGAAAACAUUAGUUAACCAUACAUGGUUAGUUAAUGGGAUAACUUGAUAUUUUUGUCUCCUCUUAUAUUAUACUGUUGUGGCUUAAUUUUGGAGGGACAUAUCUGUGAUAACAAAAUUGACAUUUCACUUAAAAUAUAAACAAUUGUGUAACGGUAAUAAAUCAAAGAGAUAUAUUUGAAGACAUUAGAACUUUUGCAGAGACAAUAUAUGAAAAUUAAACUUUGUAGGGACAUAUUCGCAAUUCACUAUAUUUGUAGGAACCUAUAUGCAUUUAAUCAUAUAAUAUUAUUAUACAUAUAAAUUUACAAUACUACUUCAAAUUCUCUAAAAAUAUUAGUUAGUUUUAUAUAUCGUUAUCGACCGUCCUUAGAGCAAGUGGCAAAUGGCUCGGUGGUUGAUACUCGAGACCCAAGAUCGAAUCCUAGUUGAUUCACAUUUCCAGCUAAGUUUAUUUUUAAAUGAAAUAAACGAAGCGGGUAGCAUGCUACCUUUGCUACCUCUCUCUCUCUCAAAAACAGUUUUAUAUAUUGUUGAUAUGUUGACAAAGUUAUAUCACGCAUUGAAAUAGCUAUGCUA
rnacentral:lncRNA from 1 species